CCUACGGGUGGCAGCAGUGGGGAAUAUUGCACAAUGGGGGAAACCCUGAUGCAGCGACGCCGCGUGUGGGAAGACGGUCCUCUGGCGUGUAAACCACUGUCCCCAGGGACGAAGAUGACGGUACCUGGGGAGGAAGCUCCGGCUCACUACGCGCCAGCAGCCGCGUUAAUACGUAGGGAGCGAGCGUUGUCCGGAAUUACUGGGUGGACAGGGAGCGUUGGCGGGAGUGCAAGUUGGGUGUCAAAUCUACCGGCUCAACCGGUAGCCGCAAUGAAAACUGCAGUUCUUGAGUGAAGUAGAGGCAGGCGGAAUGCGUGGUGUAGCGGUGAAAUGCGUAGAUAUUA
rnacentral:rRNA from 1 species